GAUUCUCCAACAAUUACAGUCCCAACACAUCAACCUUGUGGAGGCUUACUUCUCAAUCUGAAAGGAACGUUUUCUAGCCCACCAUCCCUGGAAAACUAUACACACCAUGUGCAAUGUUUCUGGGAGAUUGAAGUGCUAAAGACACAACACAUAAUGAUUACCCUGAAUGUCUCUGACCCUGAACACUCCCUUAGCUGUAUUUCGAGUUAUGUUGACAUCUUUGAUGGAUACCAGAACUCAUCUGUACCGCUGGGGCGUUUCUGUGAUGCUUUCAAUGCAACAUUUUUGUCUUCUUCCAACAAGAUGAAAAUACAAUUUGUUACUGACGCAUCUGCCUCCAAAAAUGGAUUCCAGGCUUCUUAUUUUGCUCUUCCACAGGAUAAUAAUGACACAGGCAAGCAAAAAAAGAAAGAUGUUUUGUCUCCACACCCCUACUCUUUCUCUUGCUCACCAAUCUCAGGUUGCCUAAGUGCCAGAGGAAAACAAAACCAAAUCAUCUCUUUAAUAAUUCGUGUUCAUAUCUACUCUUACUAUCUUUGUGCAGCAAAAUGUUAUUCAAUCUAAGCCUCAGUCCAAAUUCUUGACAUUGUGUAUUUUCUUUUUUCUCAGUUUAGGAGAUUUGGGUGGUAUGUGAGGAAAGAAAGAGA